GCCUGUAGCUCAGUUGGUUAGAGCAGCGGACUCAUAAUCCGUUGGUCGGAGGUUCGAGUCCUCCCGGGCC
rnacentral:tRNA from 1 species